GUUUUUGGUUUGGGCUUUUAAUUUUAUUCCAUUAUGCGCCCGUGUAUUAUUUGAAUCUUUUUAAAGUUGAGACUUAUAUUAUGGUCUAUAACAUGAUCUUUCUUGGUAAAAAUUCUGUGAGUACUUAGGAAAAAAGGAGAUGAGGGUGGGUAUUAUCUGCUGUUAAUUGGUGGACUGUUCGUGACUUGAAUUAGACAUAAUUAUUUGAUAAUGUUGUUCAAGUUUUCUUUAUCAUUACCAAUUUUCUGUGUACUUGUUAAUUAUUGAGAAGAGUAUUGAAAUCUCUAAUUGAGGAUUUAUCUAUUUUUUGCUUCAUGUAUUUUGAAGCUGUGUUAUUUGGUGGACAUUUUGGGUUGUUACAUUACCUUGAUGUUUUGACCCCUUUAUCAUUAUAUAAAUGGUCUUUAUCUCUGAUAAUAUGUUUUGGUCCAAAAUCUACUUUAUCUGAUAUUGAUAAAACUCCAGCUUUUUCUUUGUGUGCAUGUGUUUUCCCCAAAUUUCUGUUUUUAUUGUUUGUUAUUAUUUAUUUAAAUUUGGGGUUUAAGAAUGUGGAAACGCUUCAUGAAUUUGCAUGUCAUUGUUGCGCAGGGGCCAUGCUAAUCUUCUCUGUAUCAUUCCAAUUUUAACAUAUGUGCUGCUGAAAUGAGCAUUCCGGCUUUCUUUUGAUUAGUGGUAGGAUGAUAUGUCUUUUUUGCCCAUCCCUUUAUUUUUAACCUGUU
rnacentral:snRNA from 1 species